GACGAACGCUGGCGGCGUGCUUAACACAUGCAAGUCGAACGGAAAGGCCCUGCUUUUGUGGGGUGCUCGAGUGGCGAACGGGAGAGUAACACGUGAGUAACCUGCCCUUGACUUUGGGAUAACUUCAGGAAACUGGGGCUAAUACCGGAUAGGAGCUCCUGCUGCAUGGUGGGGGUUGGAAAGUUUCGGCGGUUGGGGAUGGACUCGCGGCUUAUCAGCUUGUUGGUGGGGUAGUGGCUUACCAAGGCUUUGACGGGUAGCCGGCCUGAGAGGGUGACCGGCCACAUUGGGACUGAGAGACGGCCCAGACUCCUACGGGAGGCAGCAGUGGGGAAUAUUGCACAAUGGGCGGAAGCCUGAUGCAGCAACGCCGCGUGCGGGAUGACGGCCUUCGGGUUGUAAACCGCUUUCGCCUGUGACGAAGCGUGAGUGACGGUAAUGGGUAAAGAAGCACCGGCUAACUACGUG
rnacentral:rRNA from 1 species